rnacentral:rRNA from 1 species
AACGUAGGAGACAAACGUUAUCCGGAGUUACUGGGCGUAAAGGGCGUGUAGGUGGUUUCGUAAGUCUGGCGUGAAAUUUCUCGGCUUAACCGAGGCAGGUCGUCGGAUACUGCGGAACUAGAGGACGGUAGAGGCGUGUGGAAUUCCGGGUGUAGUGGUGAAAUGCGUAGAGAUCCGGAGGAACACCAGUGGCGAAGGCGACACGCUGGGCCGUACCGUGACACUGAGGCGCGAUAGCAUGGGGAGCAAACAGGG